rnacentral:rRNA from 1 species
AUUGAACGCUGGCGGCAGGCCUAACACAUGCAAGUCGAGCGGCAGCGGGAAAGUAGCUUGCUACUUUUGCCGGCGAGCGGCGGACGGGUGAGUAAUGCCUGGGGAUCUGCCCAGUCGCGGGGGAUAACAGUUGGAAACGACUGCUAAUACCGCAUACGCCCUACGGGGGAAAGGAGGGGACCUUCGGGCCUUUCGCGAUUGGAUGAACCCAGGUGGGAUUAGCUAGUUGGUGGGGUAAUGGCUCACCAAGGCGACGAUCCCUAGCUGGUCUGAGAGGAUGAUCAGCCACACUGGAACUGAGACACGGUCCAGACUCCUGCGGGAGGCAGCAGUGGGGAAUAUUGCACAAUGGGGGAAACCCUGAUGCAGCCAUGCCGCGUGUGUGAAGAAGGCCUUCGGGUUGUAAAGCACUUUCAGCGAGGAGGAAAGGUUGUUGGCUAAUACCCAGCAACUGUGACGUUACUCGCAGAAGAAGCACCGGCUAACUCCGUGCCAGCAGCCGCAGUAAUAC